CAGGAAUCGAAGCUUCACUGAGAGUUUCACACCAUCAUUGGGCACAAAGGAGGUUGUGAAAUGGACCACAGGGGAUUUCUCUCACCUUUUUAUCUGCCCCUCAGUGCUAAGAACAAAGAGGGAGCGCCUCAGCCUGGCUGUCAAGCCCUUCAUCCAUUCACCGAUGUAUUCAUUCAGCAAGCGACUGCCAGCCGCCUAUCAGGAGAGAGGGAGUUUUCAGAUAAAGGCUCUGGGAAUCCUGAGAAGGGUGGAAGGUGCAGGAAUGGACGCCGUGGAGUACAGGCUGGCUGGCUGGACAACACACACUUCCCAUUGAGCCAGCAACUCGGAUUUAGGAGCCAGCAGAUGGUGACCGAAGUGCCCUGCUCUCUGGAAGUCCAGGCACCAGCUCAGCUCCACACUAGCCUAGGCCCUGCAAGCAGAAUAAGCUGACCCUCCCCAACCUGCCGGCCACCCAUUCAGGAGCACUGCUGGGUGUUUAUCCAGCAACCCUUAGAGCUGGGCUUCAGGGUUGGGCCCUGAAUUCAAACCCUAAUUUUACGUGACCUAGUUUCUUGCCCUCUGUGAGACUUCGUGUCCUCACGUGUGAAUUGGGGUGAUGAUACCCACCCCAAAGGCCUGCCUCAAGGUUUAAUGAUGGUGUGCAUGGAAGGCCCUGGGUUCAGGGACUGGCACUCUACUCAUGGUGGUUCUCGGUAGAAUGAGAACCCCAGAGAGAGCUUCCCCGACAGCUGCAGGGACCAUUGUUUUUCUGCUGUUGACCUUCCAUUAUCCUCUAUAACAGUAUCCCAAUUUUGCUUUGAGAAGUUGCCUUUUCUCCACUGAGCACAGCCUGGUAGGGCUGGAAUUAGGACUCCAGUACCACUGCCUUCACCCUGACAAGGGGUAGGCACAUGCCUGUGUGAACCCUGAGAGAGCCAGCCCUUCGAGAUGGAUCCUGAGGGGCUAUCCGGGUCUGAAUUCUGAGUGGCGCUGAAAGCCAUUUGCCUACUGCAGGUUCCCUACAUGCCCUGUGCAAGCCGAACAGUAGCUCAAUGUUGGGGCCUUCUUAGCUGUCUGUUCCUGCUCACACUGCCAGAAUCAACUGCUGCCGACGUCCUCAUUCUACCACCUGAACCUGACCAAUGAAAUGUGACCCGUGGUCAACUUUAACAUCAGCAAAUCAGAACUGAACAAGCUUGCAUCCCUCAGAUGCAAUGGGAACUGGGAUUAGAAUCUAAGCAGAAACUUUUUCUAUGCAGGAUAGCCCUUCUCUUUGUUCUGGCAGACGUGCCUUUGUUUUAUACUGAAGGCUGAGUCUCCCCAGUUGGCAAACUGCUGGUUGGAAUAAAGACUCUUUUUAAAAACA
ensembl:lncRNA TRIM67-AS1 TRIM67 antisense RNA 1